GGGGACGACAUGGCUUCGACGGGGGUCGAGGAGCUAAGGACUGCAUGCCGAGGUUUUUUCAGGUCCUCGUAAAACAACUGAAAACUAAAAUUAAACGCAGACAAUUAUGCGUAUGCAAUGGCUGCCUAGUUAUUCUUAAUUAGGUGACCCGCGUUUCCGGGCUUGGCCACAGAGUCCGGGCAACGCGUCGAUUUUGUGGCUAUAUUUCCCGUUUUGCUUGAGGGCGGGAGACGAACAUUUUCGAGCUGGCUUUGACGGGUUUUGUUUGCCGAACCUGGAAAGGCGAGAUUUAAUCGACAAACUAAGCAUGUAGAUGUUCUUGGUGACUGUCCUUCGGACGUGGGUUCGAUUCCCACCGUCUCCACUA
rnacentral:tmRNA from 1 species